AGUGAACGCUGGCGGUAGGCCUAACACAUGCAAGUCGAACGGCAGCACAGUAAGAGCUUGCUCUUACGGGUGGCGAGUGGCGGACGGGUGAGGAAUACAUCGGAAUCUACUUUUUCGUGGGGGAUAACGUAGGGAAACUUACGCUAAUACCGCAUACGACCUACGGGUGAAAGCAGGGGAUCUUUGGACCUUGCGCGAUUGAAUGAGCCGAUGUCGGAUUGGCUAGUUGGCGGGGUAAAGGCCCACCAAGGCGACGAUCCGUAGCUGGUCGGAGAGGAUGGUCGGCCACACUGGAACUGGGACACGGUCCAGACUCCUACGGGAGGCAGCAGUGGGGAAUAUUGGACAAUGGGGGCAAGCCUGAUCCAGCCAUACCGCGUGGGUGAAGAAGGCCUUCGGGUUGUAAAGCCCUUUUGUUGGGAAAGAAAAGCAGCAGGUUAAUACCCCGCUGUUCUGACGGUACCCAAAGAAUAAGCACCGGCUAACUUCGUG
rnacentral:rRNA from 1 species